AACGAACGCUGGCGGCAUGCCUAACACAUGCAAGUCGAACGAGACCUUCGGGUCUAGUGGCGCACGGGUGCGUAACGCGUGGGAACCUGCCCUUAGGUUCGGAAUAACUCCCCGAAAGGGGUGCUAAUACCGGAUAAUGUCUUCGGACCAAAGAUUUAUCGCCUUUGGAUGGGCCCGCGUUGGAUUAGCUAGUUGGUAGGGUAAAAGCCUACCAAGGCGACGAUCCAUAGCUGGUCUGAGAGGAUGAUCAGCGACACUGGGACUGAGACACGGCCCAGACUCCUACGGGAGGCAGCAGUGGGGAAUAUUGGACAAUGGGCGAAAGCCUGAUCCAGCACUGCCGCGUGAGUGAUGAAGGCCUUAGGGUUGUAAAGCUCUUUUACCCGGGAUGAUAAUGACAGUACCGGGAGAAUAAGCUCCGGCUAACUCCGUG
rnacentral:rRNA from 1 species